rnacentral:rRNA from 1 species
AUUGAACGCUGGCGGCAUGCCUUACACAUGCAAGUCGAACGGUAACAGGUCUUCGGAUGCUGACGAGUGGCGAACGGGUGAAUAAUACAUCGGAACGUGCCUAGUAGUGGGGGAUAACUACUCGAAAGAGUGGCUAAUACCGCAUGAGAUCUACGGAUGAAAGCAGGGGAUCGCAAGACCUUGUGCUACUAGAGCGGCCGAUGGCAGAUUAGGUAGUUGGUGGGGGAAAAGCUUACCAAGCCGACGAUCUGUAGCUGGUCCGAGAGGACGAUCAGCCAGACUGGGACUGAGACACGGCCCAGACUCCUACGGGAGGCAGCAGUGGGGAAUUUUGGACAAUGGGCGCAAGCCUGAUUCAGCAAUGCCGCGUGCAGGAUGAAGGCCUUCGGGUUGUAAACUGCUUUUGUACGGAACGAAAAGCCCUGGGUUAAUACCCUGGGGUCAUGACGGUACCGUAAGAAUAAGCACCGGCUAACUACGUGCCAGCAGCCGCUGUAA